rnacentral:rRNA from 1 species
UACGAGGGGUGCAAGCGUUGCUCGGAAUUAUUGGGCGUAAAGGGUAGGUAGGUGGUCUCAUUUGUCUAGGGUGAAAGCCUUGAGCUUAACUCAAGAAGUGCCCUAGAAACGGUGAGACUGGAGUCUUGGAGAGGGUCGUGGAAUUCUCGGUGUAGCGGUGAAAUGCGCAGAUAUCAGGAGGAACACCGGUGGCGAAGGCGGGUCUCUGGGCCGAUACUGACGCUGAGGAGCGAAAGCGUGGGGAGCGAACAGG